rnacentral:lncRNA from 1 species
UAAGGGAAAGAAAGUGUGAAGGAUUAGGCAUUGGCAUUGUUUGAUUGAGAGUGAGUGUGGAAGUGGGAUUGAUGGUUGUAUCCUGAUUAGGUUGAGAUGCAGCAUCUGAUGUAGCCGUAGGAAUAGAAAAGAAAAGAAAAUAAUAACGAUAGAGAUCAGAAGAUAAGAAAAGGAAUAGGAUCAGUAAAGCUCUGAUACCAUAUAAAGUUUAGAUUUCC